GUCCGGUAUUGUUUUGGAUUGUGUCUAAACAAUGUUAACAUGGUUAACUCCAUACCCCUACCCCUUCUUUUCCUAAACAAUUUUCUAAGCACUCGGUAACUUACAAAAAAAAAAAAAAAACAGGGAUGGGUUCAUAAGUAUUAAAGUAUUCAAUAAAUGUUGGCUUCAACGGCAGUAAACAGAAGCAAACAAAGAACAAAAACGUUCUAUAACAAACUACAGUUUAAUAAAUCUCUUACAAUGUCAGAAAAAUUUAAAUGAUAUCUGCUAUUUUCCCCUUAUUGUUCAAUUGUAAUAGUUAAUUAAUUGUCAGGCUAAUAAAAACAAGCCAUUUCUCUGUCAAAGCAACUAAGCUCCGCCUUUUCACGUGAAAUUGACAAUGAUUGAAGUGAAAAUCAAUAGUCUGUUACAACAGCAAGGCAUACUAUUUUCGCAUAGUGCAGUUAACGCUAUUUAUUUCUUUAAAAAAC
rnacentral:lncRNA from 1 species